rnacentral:rRNA from 1 species
UACGAGGGGGGCAAAUGUUGUUCGGAAUCACUGGGCGUAAAGGGAGCGUAGGCGGGUCUUUAAGUCAGGGGUGAAAUCCUGGAGCUCAACUCCAGAACUGCCUUUGAUACUGAAGAUCUUGAGUUCGGGAGAGGUGAGUGGAACUGCGAGUGUAGAGGUGAAAUUCGUAGAUAUUCGCAAGAACACCAGUGGCGAAGGCGGCUCACUGGCCCGAUACUGACGCUGAGGCACGAAAGCGUGGGGAGCAAACAGG